GCGGCUGUGGCUCAGUGGAAAGGGCAGUCAUCUUACAGUCGGAUAGGACUGGGUUAGAUUUCCAGUUCCCCUCAGCCACA